rnacentral:rRNA from 1 species
GACGAACGCUGGCGGCGUGCUUAACACAUGCAAGUCGAACGGAAAGGCCCUGCUUGCCGGGUACUCGAGUGGCGAACGGGUGAGUAACACGUGGGUGAUCUGCCCUGCACUUCGGGAUAAGCCUGGGAAACUAGGUCUAAUACCGGAUAGGAGCCAUUUUUAGUGUGAUGGUUGGAAAGUUUUUUCGGUGUAGGAUGAGCUCGCGGCCUAUCAGCUUGUUGGUGGGGUAAUGGCCUACCAAGGCGGCGACGGGUAGCCGGCCUGAGAGGGUGGACGGCCACAUUGGGACUGAGAUACGGCCCAGACUCCUACGGGAGGCAGCAGUGGGGAAUAUUGCACAAUGGGCGCAAGCCUGAUGCAGCGACGCCGCGUGGGGGAUGACGGCCUUCGGGUUGUAAACUCCUUUCGCUAGGGACGAAGCUUUUUGUGACGGUACCUAGAUAAGAAGCACCGGCUAACUACGUG